UACAGCCAUAUCACCCUGAAUGCACCUGAUCUUGUCUAAUCUUGGAAGCUAAGCAGGGUCAGGCCUGGUUAGUACUUGGAUGGAAGACCUGAUUCAGAUACGUAAGUGAAUUUGUCA
rnacentral:rRNA from 1 species